rnacentral:rRNA from 1 species
UACGUAGGGUGCGAGCGUUGUCCGGAAUUAUUGGGCGUAAAGAGCUCGUAGGCGGUCUGUCGCGUCGGAUGUGAAAACUCGGGGCUCAACCCCGAGCCUGCAUUCGAUACGGGCAGACUAGAGUUCGGUAGGGGAGACUGGAAUUCCUGGUGUAGCGGUGAAAUGCGCAGAUAUCAGGAGGAACACCGGUGGCGAAGGCGGGUCUCUGGGCUGACACUGACGCUCAGGCACGAAAGCGUGGGGAGCAAACAGG